CUGAGUGAGGGCCCUCUGGGUCCAACCUCCCACCCGUGUUUAUUGUACCUUGUUGCUUCGGCAGGCCCGCCUCACGGCCUCCGGGGGGCUUCUCGCCCCCGGGCCCGCGCCUGCCGGAGACACCUUUGAACGCUGUCUGAAGUUUGCAGUCUGAGCGAUUAGCUAAAUUAGUUA
rnacentral:misc_RNA from 1 species